UACGUAGGGUGCGAGCGUUGUCCGGAAUUAUUGGGCGUAAAGAGCUCGUAGGCGGUUUGUUGCGUCUAUCGUGAAAACCUGCAGCUUAACUGUGGGCUUGCGGUGGAUACGGGCAGACUUGAGUUCGGUAGGGGAGACUGGAAUUCCUGGUGUAGCGGUGAAAUGCGCAGAUAUCAGGAGGAACACCGGUGGCGAAGGCGGGUCUCUGGGGCCGAUACUGACGCUGAGGAGCGAAAGCGUGGGGAGCGAACAGG
rnacentral:rRNA from 1 species